rnacentral:rRNA from 11 species
UCCUUCAGAUUUUAGCUAUCCUGAAGGUACCAAAUCCUGUCUGAUCUGGGAAGCUAAGCAGGGACAAUCCUAGUUAGCACAUCGAUGGGAGAUCACCAACAAAUACAAGUGCUGUUGGCU